GACGAACGCUGGCGGCGUGCUUAACACAUGCAAGUGGAGCGACGAACCGGGGCUUGCCCCGGGGCAGAGCCGCGAACGGGUGAGUAACACGUGGGUUACCUACCCCGAUGACCGGGACAACCCGAGGAAACUCGGGCUAAUACCGGAUGUGGUCUUCGGACGAAAGGAAGCUUCGGCCUCCGCAUCGGGAUGGGCCCGCGGCGCAUUAGCUUGUUGGUGGGGUAACGGCCUACCAAGGCGACGAAGCGUAGCUGGUCUGAGAGGACGAUCAGCCACACUGGGACUGAGACACGGCCCAGACUCCUACGGGAGGCAGCAGUGGGGAAUCUUGCGCAAUGCGCGAAAGCGUGACGCAGCAACGCCGCGUGGGGGAAGAAGGCCUUCGGGUUGUAAACCUCUUUCAGUUGGGACGAAGCCUUACGGGUUAAUAGCCCGUGGAGGUGACGGUACCUUCAGAAGAAGCCCCGGCUAACUACGUGCCAGCAGCCGCCGUAAUAC
rnacentral:rRNA from 1 species